rnacentral:other from 1 species
ACUUGCCUGGGAUGUUCGAUACCCCUCAUAUUGAGCCACCAUGACAUAAAAGGGAGUCCGGGUUAGUGUGGAAUAGGAUCGAACCGCCUUAGAGUGGAUGAUCUAAGACCGCCGCAGGGCACCCACCUGGCGAAAUGCUGGGCGUCAAUCGAGGGGGACGGCAUUCCGGGUCUUGU